UGCAAGUCGAACGAUGAAGUCUAGCUUGCUAGACGGAUUAGUGGCGAACGGGUGAGUAAUGCUUAGGAAUCUGCCUAUUAGUGGGGGAUAACGUAGGGAAACUUACGCUAAUACCGCAUACGACCUACGGGUGAAAGGGGGCUUUUAGCUCUCGCUAUUAGAUGAGCCUAAGUCGGAUUAGCUGGUUGGUGGGGUAAAGGCCUACCAAGGCGACGAUCUGUAGCUGGUCUGAGAGGAUGAUCAGCCACACUGGGACUGAGACACGGCCCAGACUCCUACGGGAGGCAGCAGUGGGGAAUAUUGGACAAUGGGCGAAAGCCUGAUCCAGCCAUGCCGCGUGUGUGAAGAAGGCCUUUUGGUUGUAAAGCACUUUAAGUGGGGAGGAAAAGCUUAUGGUUAAUACCCAUAAGCCCUGACGUUACCCACAGAAUAAGCACCGGCUAACUCUGUGCCAGCAGCCGCGGUAAUACAGAGGGUGCAAGCGUUAAUCGGAAUUACUGGGCGUAAAGUGCGCGUAGGUGGUUAUUUAAGUCAGAUGUGAAAGCCCCGGGCUUAACCUGGGAACUGCAUCUGAUACUGGAUAACUAGAGUAGGUGAGAGGGGAGUAGAAUUCCAGGUGUAGCGGUGAAAUGCGUAGAGAUCUGGAGGAAUACCGAUGGCGAAGGCAGCUCCCUGGCAUCAUACUGACACUGAGGUGCGAAAGCGUGGGUAGCAAACAGGAUUAGAUACCCUGGUAGUCCACGCCGUAAACGAUGUCUACCAGUCGUUGGGUCUUUUAAAGACUUAGUGACGCAGUUAACGCAAUAAGUAGACCGCCUGGGGAGUACGGCCGCA
rnacentral:rRNA from 1 species